rnacentral:rRNA from 1 species
UUGAUUAUUUUUUAUUUAUUAAUUAAUUUUUUUUUUAUUUUAAAUUAUUAAAAGUAAUUAUUAAAAGCUUUGUUUGAGUAUUUUAUAAAGAAAAAAUAAUUUUAAUUAUAGUUAAAUAGUAUUGUGAAAGAAAAUUGAAAUAAUUUGAAAAAUUAAUAUUUUAAAAGAAAAUUUAAUUUAUUGUACCUUGUGUAUCAGGGUUUAUCUAAUAAAAAUUAUUUAUUAUAAUUUUCUCGAUUUUAAAAGAGUUAAUAUAUUGUAAAAGUUAAUGUGACAAAAUUAUUUUGUACAAUAUAUUAGAAAUGAAAUGUUAUUCGUUUUUAAAGGUAUCUAGUUCUUUAAGAAAUAAAUUUAAUUUAGAAAUUUUAUAUUAUUUAAUUAAAUAUAUUAAUUAAAUAAUUAUUUUAUUUUAAUAUUUUGUGGGAUAAGCUAUGAAAUAAAUUAUUAAAAAUUAUUAUUUAGUCUAAUAAAUAUAAGCUUAGAAAUAGCUAUUAUUGAUAAAAUUGUUAUAAUUUAUUUUAUUAUAUCGAUUAUUUAUUAAAUUUUAAUUAUGUAUUAAAGUAUUCAUUUUAAUUAUAAAAGUGAAAAAAUAAUGAUAAAAUUAGUAUAUUAUAUUGUAUAAAUAAUAUUAAUUGAAAAGUUUUUAUAAAGAACUCGGCAAAAAUAAUGUUCGCCUGUUUAACAAAAACAUGUCUUUUUGAAUUUUUUUUAAAGUCUAGCCUGCCCACUGAGUUAUUUAAAUGGCCGCAGUAUACUAACUGUGCAAAGGUAGCAUAAUCAUUAGUCUUUUAAUUGAAGGCUGGUAUGAAUGGUUGGACGAGAUAUUAACUGUUUCAUAGUAAUUUAUAGUAGAAUUUUAUUUUUUAGUCAAAAAGCUAAAAUAUAAUUAAAAGACGAGAAGACCCUAUAAAUCUUUAUAUAUAAAUUAUUAGAAUUUUGUAGAUUUUUUUUAUUAUAAUAAUUAAUUGUAUUUUAUUGGGGUGAUAUUAAAAUUUAAUAAACUUUUAAUUUUUUUUAUCAUUAAUUUAUGAAUAAUUGAUCCGUUUAUAACGAUUAAAAAAAUAAGUUACUUUAGGGAUAACAGCGUAAUUUUUUUGGAGAGUUCAUAUCGAUAAAAAAGAUUGCGACCUCGAUGUUGGAUUAAGAUAUAAUUUUAGGUGUAGCCGCUUAAAUUUUGAGUCUGUUCGACUUUUAAAUUCUUACAUGAUCUGAGUUCAAACCGGCGUAAGCCAGGUUGGUUUCUAUCUUUAAUAAGUGAAAAUAUUUCAGUACGAAAGGACCUAAUAUUUAAUAAAUAAUUAUUUUAAUAUUGAAUUUAAUUAAUUUA